UACAGAGGUCCCGAGCGUUGUUCGGAUUCAUUGGGCGUAAAGGGUGCGUAGGCGGCGGGGCCAGUCUGAUGUGAAAUCCCGGGGCUCAACCCCGGAACUGCAUUGGAUACUGCCUUGCUCGAGUACUGGAGAGGGAACUGGAAUUUACGGUGUAGCAGUGAAAUGCGUAGAGAUCGUAAGGAGGGCCAGUGGCGAAGGCGAGUUCCUGGACAGUUACUGACGCUGAGGCACGAAGGCCAGGGGAGCAAACGGG
rnacentral:rRNA from 1 species